UACGUAGGGCGCGAGCGUUGUCCGGAAUUAUUGGGCGUAAAGAGCUCGUAGGCGGCUUGUUGCGUCUGCUGUGAAAUCCCGGGGCUUAACCCCGGGCGUGCAGUGGAUACGGGCAGGCUGGAGGCAGGCAGGGGAGAAUGGAAUUCCCGGUGUAGCGGUGAAAUGCGCAGAUAUCGGGAGGAACACCGGUGGCGAAGGCGGUUCUCUGGGCCUGUUCUGACGCUGAGGCACGAAAGCGUGGGGAGCAAACAGG
rnacentral:rRNA from 1 species